CGUGACUUGGGUUUGUCUGUAAAAACUACGUAUAGCACCAUGUCUGACAAUGAAUUGGAUAAUGCCAUUUUGGCCAUCAAAAGAAGACUACCAAAUGCUGGAUAUAGGAUGAUAAAAGGCUGCCUGCAAGCAGACGGACAAAGAGUGCAAUGGAACCGCAUAAAAGAAUCCAUGCACAGAGUGGAUGCCCCUGGAAUAUUGGAAAGGAUGACACAGCUGGGGUGUAUUGUCAGGAGGUCAUAUUUUGUUCAAAGUCCACUGUCCUUAGUCCAUAUUGACACGAAUCACAAGCUCAUAAGGUAUGUUCUUAUAUUUUACCUACGAAACUGUAAUGUUAUGCAAUAUUACGUUUAACAUGGUUUUACUUUGAAGGUACAACAUCAUCAUAUUUGGUGGGAUAGACGGGUUCUCACGAAAGGUAAACACAUUUAUUUACAACCCAGUGGAAUCUAUCUAUCAAUCGAUACUAUUACUUAUCUAUCUAUAAUCUGACUAUCUAUCUGUGUUUGAAUGUAUUGAAUGCUUUAAUGUAUUGCAUUCAUUCUUUUUUGGUAUAGAUCAUGUACCUGGAGCCAGCAACAAACAACCGUUCAAGCACUGCCUUAUCAUUCUUUCUCCAGUCUGUGCAAAAACAUGGCUGGCCUUCAAGGGUCCGGGGUGAUGAAGGUGUGGAAAAUGUGGCAGUUGCAGAAACCAUGUUUCGUGUGAAAGGGACUGGAAGAGGAAGCUUCAUUGCUGGGAAAAGCGUACAUAAUCAGAGAAUUGAACGCCUCUGGUGAGACGUCUGGGUCAGCGUAACACAGCUGUAUUACGAAAUACUUCACAGCCUUGAGGAAGAUGGCUUGUUGGACUUGUCAGAUUCCCUUCAUGUGUUUUGUGCACAUUAUGUCUUCCUCCCACGUCUGAAGCGUGACCUCCAGUUUUUCUGAAGGCUGGGACAAUCAUCCAUUACGGUCUGAAAAUGGGCUUACCCCUAACCAGAUGUGGAUAAUGGGACACAUGCACACCUCAUCUGGAGACAAUGAAGAGAGUUUUCAGGUUUGUUUUUUUAAUUGAUUUUCUAUGCCUUCAAGUUA